rnacentral:rRNA from 1 species
UACGUAGGGUGCAAGCGUUGUCCGGAAUUUAUUGGGCGUAAAGAGCUCGUAGGCGGUUUGUCGCGUCUGCUGUGAAAACUCAGGGCUUAACCCUGAGCUUGCAGUGGGGUACGGGCAGACUAGAGUGCGGUAGGGGAGACUGGAAUUCCUGGUGUAGCGGUGAAAAGUGCGCAGAUAUCAGGGAGGGAACACCCGGGUGGGCGAAAGGCGGGGU